rnacentral:rRNA from 1 species
UCGCCUGUUUUAUCAAAAACAUCGCCAUAAAAAAAAUUAUGGUAGAAUCUGCCCAGUGAAUAUUUUUAACGGCCGCAGUACUUUAACUGUGCUAAGGUAGCAUAAUCAUUAGCCUUCUAAUUAAAGGCUUGUAUAAAUGAUCUGACGAGAGACUUUCUGUUUCAGUAAGAUAAAAUAAAUUAAGAAAGAGAUCAAAACCUCUCUGGCCUUCAAAAGGACGACAAGACCCUAUAAAACUUUACUUUUUUUUUGAAAUUUCUUCCUGAGAAUUUUUUUCUUUCAUUAAAAGUUAUACUGGGGCGGUAAAUUUUAAUUUCAACUAAAUAUAUCAAAACAAGCUGAAUGAUCUCUGUAAACACUUCCUAAGUAAUAAAGAACAAGUUACUUUAGGGAUAACAGCGUAAUUUUUCUUUAGAGCCCCUAUCGACAGAGAAGUUUACGACCUCGAUGUUGAAUUGAAACCCCUGAGUAGAGCAGCUUUUACUCCCAGGAAGUCUGUUCGACUUUUUAAUUUUCACAUGAUCUGAGUUCCAAACCGGA